rnacentral:rRNA from 1 species
GAGAGUUUGAUCCUGGCUCAGGUCGAACGCUGGCGGUGUGUCUAAGGCAUGCAAGUUGAGCGAACUUUAUUUCUUCGGAAGUUAAGUUAGCGGCAAACGGGAGAGUAACGCAUUAGUAAUUCACCUUGUACUCGUGAAUAGCCCAGAGAAAUCUGGAGUAAUACACGAUAUGAUGGGGGGACAAAAGUCAUUCCCAUUGAAAGUUCCGACGGUGCAAGAGAAGCUUAUGUUCUAUCAGCUAGUUGGUGAGGUAAAGGCUCACCAAGGCUACGACGGAUACCGGGCGUGAGAGCGUGACCCGGCUCACUGGGACUGAGACACGGCCCAGACACCUACGGGUGGCUGCAGUCAAGAAUCUUCCGCAAUGCACGAAAGUGUGACGGAGCGACACCGCGUGUCGGAUGAAGGCCUUCGGGUCGUAAACGACUGUUCUGAGGGACGAACUUUGACGGUACCUCAGCAGAAAGGGGUUGCUAACUCUGUGCCAGCAGCAGCGGUAAUACAGAGACCCCGAGCGUUGACCGGAUUUAUUGGGCGUAAAGCGUGCGCAGGCGGCUUUGUAAGUCAUUUGUUAAAUCUUCAGGCUUAACCUGGAGGCUGCAGGUGAUACUGCAAGGCUAGAGAGUGGGAGAGGUAGAUGGAAUGCCCGGUGUAGGGGUUAAAUCCGUUAAUAUCGGGUAGAACACCAAAAGCGAAAGCAAUCUACUGGAACACUUCUGACGCUGAUGCACGAAAGCGUGGGUAGCGAAUNNGACGGGGACCCGCACAAGCGGUGGAUCAUGUGGUUUAAUUCGAUGGUACGCGAGAAACCUCACCUGGGCUCAACUACUAGCUGCAAGCUUUAGAGAUAAAGUCGCUUUUGAAGGUGCUAGAUAGGUGCUGCAUGGUCGUCGUCAGCUCGUGCCGUGAGGUGUACCCUUAAGUGGGGUAACGAGCGCAACCCCUGUCGUGUGUUAUACUUUCACACGAGACUGCCUUCGUAAGAAGGAGGAAGGAGGGGAUGACGUCAGAUCAGCAUGGCCCUUACGUCCAGGGCAACACACAUGAUACAAUGGCCGGUACAGCGAGAUGCCAAGUCGCGAGACGGAGCAAACCUCUAAAAACCGGUCCCAGUUCGAAUUGGAGUCUGAAACUCGACUCCAUGAAGCCGGAAUCGCUAGUAAAGGCGGAUCAUAACGCCGCCUUGAAUACGUUCUCGGGUCUUGUACUCACCGCCCGUCACGUCAAGAGAGUUGGUGGUGCCCGAAGGUCGUUGUAGGACGGCCGAAGGCAAAAUCAGCAAUAGGGACGAAGUCGUAACAAGGCAUCCGUAGCGGAAGCUGUGGAUGGAUCACCUCCUUUCUAG